rnacentral:rRNA from 1 species
AUUGAACGCUGGCGGCAGGCCUAACACAUGCAAGUCGAACGAGUGGCGGACGGGUGAGUAAUGUCUGGGAAACUGCCCGAGGGAGGGGGAUAACUACUGGAAACGGUAGCUAAUACCGCAUACCAUCGGAUGUGCCCAGAUGGGAUGAGCUAGUGGGUGGGGUAAUGGCUCACCUAGGCGACGAUCCCUAGCGGAUCUGAGAGGCUGACCGGCCACACUGGCACUGAGACACGGUCCAGACUCCGACGGGAGGCAGCAGUAGGGAAUAGUGCGCAAUGGGCGCAAGCCUGAUGCAGCCAUGCCGCGUGUAUGAAGAAGGCCUUCGGGUUGUAAAGUUCUUUCAGCGGAGAGGCGUUACUCGCAGAAGAAGCACCGGCUAACUCCGUGCCAGCAGCCGCGGUAAUAC